rnacentral:rRNA from 1 species
AACGAACGCUGGCGGCAGGCUUAACACAUGCAAGUCGAACGCCCCGCAAGGGGAGUGGCAGACGGGUGAGUAACGCGUGGGAAUCUACCUAGUUCUACGGAACAACAGAGGGAAACUUCUGCUAAUACCGGUAUACGCCCUAAGGGGGAAAGAUUUAUCGGAAUUAGAUGAGCCCGCGUAAGAUUAGCUAGUUGGUGGGG